rnacentral:rRNA from 1 species
UACGGGGGGGGCAAGCGUUGUUCGGAAUUACUGGGCGUAAAGGGCGCGUAGGCGGCCUGCUAAGUCGAACGUGAAAUCCCCGAGCUCAACUCGGGAACUGCGUCCGAUACUGGCAGGCUUGAAUCCGGGAGAGGGAUGCGGAAUUCCAGGUGUAGCGGUGAAAUGCGUAGAUAUCUGGAGGAACACCGGUGGCGAAGGCGACAUCCUGGACCGGUAUUGACGCUGAGGCGCGAAAGCCAGGGGAGCAAACGGG